GACGAACGCUGGCGGCGUGCCUAACACAUGCAAGUCGAACGGAAAGGCCCUGCUUGCAGGGUACUCGAGUUGCCAACGGGUGAGUAACCCGUGGGUGCUCCGCCCUGUACUUCGUGAUAAGCUGGGGAAACUGGGUCUAUUACCGAAUAGGAACUACCUCUAACGUGUUGGUUGGAAAGUUCUUCGGGUGUAGGAUGAGUUCGUGGCCUAUUAGCUUGUUGGUGGGGUAAUGGCCUACCAAGCCGGCGACGGGUAGCCGGCUUGCGGGAAUGUACGGCCACAUUAGACCUGUGCUACAGGCCACACUCCGGCAUGAUGCAGCAGUGGGGAAUAUUGCACAAUGGGCGCACGCCUGAUGCAGCGACGCCGCGUGGGGGAUGAAGGCCUUCGGGUUGUAAGCACCUUUCGCUAGGAACGAAGCGUUGUUGUGACGGUACCUAGAGAAGAAGCACCGGCUAACUACGUG
rnacentral:rRNA from 1 species